AUUGUGUUUUGAUUAAUUGUUGUCAACUUAAUUUGUCAUCGACCGAAAUUCGUUAAUUACAUUGAUUAUCAUUACCUGAAGAUCUCACCUUGAUUUGCUUCUAUUUAGAUUAACAAUUUAACCGCUUUUUUCUCAAUUUGAUUUAUCAGUUGUUCUCUCAUCAUUUGAUUCAAUUUUCUUUAUGCCUUCAGUGGAGAAGAAAAACUAGUUUUUGUUUUAUUCUAUUCUAUGUAAUAUUCAACCAGUGGAAUGUUUCUCAUAUUCAAACAACCAAUUUACGCCUCAAAGGAUUAACACAAUUGGUUCUGAUUUUUUUGUUUCGCUGUUGUUGGUACCUGGUGAAUCUCUUACUGAAUUUGAUGUGAAAAAUGACUGUCACAAAACCUUCAAAACAACUACAAGCUGUGUAUCUAAAAUGUGAACAAUUUGAAUCAUGAGAAGUACUGUCAACAUUUGAAAGACUAAUUUGAAUAAUGGAAUCAUUUUCACUUAAUCAACUAAGAAGAGAGAUAAUUAAAAGAUUAACUUUUAAUUACUCAAGUGAUUCUUGGCCUUUACCUGGAUAAAGAUCAAAAUAUUGAGAAAGAAGAGAUAACGAAUUUAUGGAAAUAUACUAAUUAAUCUGAAGGACGAACGAAAAGAAAAAUCUUCUUUAAUUACCAUCACAAUGAGAACCAAAUCAAGAGAUGAAAAAGAAAAAGGAAAAGUAUAAACAAAUCAAAGAAGGAACAAAAAAAAGCAAAUGGAAACAAAGAAUAAGGAAAACAAUCAAAUGGAAAAAAAGAGAAGGCGGAUUAAGAUAAUUAAUUCAUUAUUCUCAAUUAAUUCCACCGUUUUAUCAUCACAAUCAUUUAGCUGGAUGAUAAUGUUAUCAAAAUGGCGAUAGUUUUGAAAACACUCCCAGGAACCAAUGAAAAACAGUUAUAACAAUUAGAUUUGAUUCUAAAUCCACCAGGAUGAUUAACAUAAUUUCGUAAGAUGUCCUCUCAUAUAUUCCCACUGGUGUAAAAAUAAUCUACACUCUCCAUCUUCAACAGAGCCAAUUGAUGUUGAUUCAAAACUAUUAUUAUCAAGGAUAUUGCACUUUAAUAGGUUUUGUUGAUUACUUUUUGGUCGCGUGGGAUUUUUUUACCCCAUAGAGUAACAUUCAAAUUGUAUUGUUACUGAUUAAGAGUGGUUAAGGAUUGUGCUUUAAUUUUUAUUUAUUUUCUUUUUGAUUGGCUUCAGUGAUUUACUAAAUCGUCGCUACAACAAUUUAUACAAUUGUACUAAUCAAUUUGAUUCCAUUUUAUGUUCAAUGAUUUAUCAAAUUUAUUAAUCGUGGGUUAACUGUUAAUUUAGUUUCUCAUAAUAAUCUAUCAUCAUUGAAUCGGUUUAAAUGGCUGCUUUUUAAUCAUUAAUCAUAAUCAAAGGGAAAUCAGAAAUGGACAAUUUAAUGGUUGAACAAUUAAACCCAAUUUUUAGUUUUAAUUAAAUGUUCAUUGUUAUAU